rnacentral:rRNA from 1 species
GAUGAACGCUGGCGGCGCGCCUAAUACAUGCAAGUCGAGCGAAUGGAUUGAGAGCUUGCUCUUAUGAAGUUAGCGGCGGACGGGUGAGUAACACGUGGGUAACCUGCCCAUAAGACUGGGAUAACUCCGGGAAACCGGGGCUAAUACCGGAUAACAUUUUGAACCGCAUGGUUCGAAAUUGAAAGGCGGCUUCGGCUGUCACUUAUGGAUGGACCCGCGUCGAAUUAGCUAGUUGGUGAGGUAAAGGCUCACCAAGGCAACGAUGCGUAGCCGACCUGAGAGGGUGAUCGGCCACACUGGGACUGAGACACGGCCCAGACUCCUACGGGAGGCAGCAGUAGGGAAUCUUCCGCAAUGGACGAAAGUCUGACGGAGCAACGCCGCGUGAGUGAUGAAGGCUUUCGGGUCGUAAAACUCUGUUGUUAGGGAAGAACAAGUGCUAGUUGAAUAAGCUGGCACCUUGACGGUACCUAACCAGAAAGCCACGGCUAACUACGUGCCAGCCGCCGCAGUAA